ensembl:snRNA U6 U6 spliceosomal RNA
UUGCUCACUUUGGCAGCACAUAUAUUAAAACUGGGAGGGUACAAAGAAGAUUAGCAAGGCCCCUGCACAAGAAUGACACACAAAUUUGAGAAGCAUCCAUAAAAAUA